rnacentral:rRNA from 2 species
UUAAGCGACUAAGCGUACACGGUGGAUGCCCUGGCAGUCAGAGGCGAUGAAGGACGUGCUAAUCUGCGAAAAGCGCCGGCGAGGUGAUAUGAACCCUUGACCCGGCGAUGUCCGAAUGGGGAAACCCAGUGUGUUCCGACACACUAUCGUUAACUGAAUACAUAGGUUAACGAGGCGAACCGGGGGAACUGAAACAUCUAAGUACCCCGAGGAAAAGAAAUCAACCGAGAUUCCCCCAGUAGCGGCGAGCGAACGGGGAGCAGCCCGGAGUCUGAAUCAGCUUGUGUGUUAGUGGAACGGUCUGGAAAGUCCGACGGUACAGGGUGAUAGUCCCGUACACGAAAAUGCACAUGCUGUGAACUCGAAGAGUAGGGCGGGACACGUGGUAUCCUGUCUGAAUAUGGGGGGACCAUCCUCCAAGGCUAAAUACUCCUGACUGACCGAUAGUGAACCAGUACCGUGAGGGAAAGGCGAAAAGAACCCCGGCGAGGGGAGUGAAAAAGAACCUGAAACCGUGUACGUACAAGCAGUGGGAGCACCUUCGGGUGUGACUGCGUACCUUUUGUAUAAUGGGUCAGCGACUUAUAUUCUGUAGCAAGGUUAACCGUAUAGGGGAGCCGAAGGGAAACCGAGUCUUAACUGGGCGUUAAGUUGCAGGGUAUAGACCCGAAACCCGGUGAUCUAGCCAUGGGCAGGUUGAAGGUUGGGUAACACUAACUGGAGGACCGAACCGACUAAUGUUGAAAAAUUAGCGGAUGACCUGUGGCUGGGGGUGAAAGGCCAAUCAAACCGGGAGAUAGCUGGUUCUCCCCGAAAGCUAUUUAGGUAGCGCCUCGUGAACUCAUCUUCGGGGGUAGAGCACUGUUUCGGCUAGGGGGCCAUCCCGGCUUACCAACCCGAUGCAAACUACGAAUACCGAAGAAUGUUAUCACGGGAGACACACGGCGGGUGCUAACGUCCGUCGUGAAGAGGGAAACAACCCAGACCGCCAGCUAAGGUCCCAAAGUCAUGGUUAAGUGGGAAACGAUGUGGGAAGGCACAGACAGCCAGGAUGUUGGCUUAGAAGCAGCCAUCAUUUAAAGAAAGCGUAAUAGCUCACUGGUCGAGUCGGCCUGCGCGGAAGAUGUAACGGGGCUAAACCAUGCACCGAAGCUGCGGCAGCGACGCUUAUGCGUUGUUGGGUAGGGGAGCGUUCUGUAAGCCGUUGAAGGUGUGCUGUGAGGCAUGCUGGAGGUAUCAGAAGUGCGAAUGCUGACAUAAGUAACGAUAAAGCGGGUGAAAAGCCCGCUCGCCGGAAGACCAAGGGUUCCUGUCCAACGUUAAUCGGGGCAGGGUGAGUCGACCCCUAAGGCGAGGCCGAAAGGCGUAGUCGAUGGGAAACAGGUUAAUAUUCCUGUACUUGGUGUUACUGCGAAGGGGGGACGGAGAAGGCUAUGUCAGCCGGGCGACGGUUGUCCCGGUUUAAGCAUGUAGGCGGAGGUUCCAGGUAAAUCCGGUACCUUAUUAACGCUGAGGUGUGAUGACGAGGCACUACGGUGCUGAAGUGAUAAAUGCCCUGCUUCCAGGAAAAGCCUCUAAGCAUCAGGUAACACGAAAUCGUACCCCAAACCGACACAGGUGGUCAGGUAGAGAAUACCAAGGCGCUUGAGAGAACUCGGGUGAAGGAACUAGGCAAAAUGGUGCCGUAACUUCGGGAGAAGGCACGCUGAUAUGUAGGUGAAGCCCCUGCGGGCGGAGCUGAAAUCAGUCGAAGAUACCAGCUGGCUGCAACUGUUUAUUAAAAACACAGCACUGUGCAAACACGAAAGUGGACGUAUACGGUGUGACGCCUGCCCGGUGCCGGAAGGUUAAUUGAUGGGGUUAGCGGCAACGCGAAGCUCUUGAUCGAAGCCCCGGUAAACGGCGGCCGUAACUAUAACGGUCCUAAGGUAGCGAAAUUCCUUGUCGGGUAAGUUCCGACCUGCACGAAUGGCGUAAUGAUGGCCAGGCUGUCUCCACCCGAGACUCAGUGAAAUUGAACUCGCUGUGAAGAUGCAGUGUACCCGCGGCAAGACGGAAAGACCCCGUGAACCUUUACUAUAGCUUGACACUGAACACUGGUCCUUGAUGUGUAGGAUAGGUGGGAGGCUUUGAAGCGUGGACGCCAGUCUGCGUGGAGCCACCCUUGAAAUACCACCCUUUAAUGGCUGGUGUUCUAACGUAGACCCGUGAUCCGGGUUGCGGACAGUGUCUGGUGGGUAGUUUGACUGGGGCGGUCUCCUCCCAAAGAGUAACGGAGGAGCACGAAGGUUGGCUAAUCCUGGUCGGACAUCAGGAGGUUAGUGCAAUGGCAUAAGCCAGCUUGACUGCGAGCGUGACGGCGCGAGCAGGUGCGAAAGCAGGUCAUAGUGAUCCGGUGGUUCUGAAUGGAAGGGCCAUCGCUCAACGGAUAAAAGGUACUCCGGGGAUAACAGGCUGAUACCGCCCAAGAGUUCAUAUCGACGGCGGUGUUUGGCACCUCGAUGUCGGCUCAUCACAUCCUGGGGCUGAAGUAGGUCCCAAGGGUAUGGCUGUUCGCCAUUUAAAGUGGUACGCGAGCUGGGUUUAGAACGUCGUGAGACAGUUCGGUCCCUAUCUGCCGUGGGCGCUGGAGAAUUGAGGGGGGCUGCUCCUAGUACGAGAGGACCGGAGUGGACGCAUCACUGGUGUUCGGGUUGUCAUGCCAAUGGCACUGCCCGGUAGCUAAAUGCGGAAGAGAUAAGUGCUGAAAGCAUCUAAGCACGAAACUUGCCCCGAGAUGAGUUCUCCCUGAGACCUUGAGUCUCCUGAAGGAACGUUGAAGACGACGACGUUGAUAGGUCGGGUGUGUAAGCGCAGCGAUGCGUUGAGCUAACCGAUACUAAUGAACCGUGAGGCUUAACCUU